AGGGUUUGAUUAUGGCUCAGGACGAACGCUGGCGGUGCGCCUUAUGCAUGCAAGUCGAGCGAAGCUUUUCAGUAGUUUACUACAGAAAAUGACUGAGCGGCGAACGGGUGAGUAACGCGUGAGCAAUCUACCUUAGUUACUGGGAUAGCCCGAGGAAACUCGGAUUAAUACCGGAUAAUCUUAUUACAUCUCAUGAUAUUUUAAGUAAAGGUCAGCCGAACUAAGAUGAGCUCGCGUUCUAUCAGCUUGUUGGUGGGGUAAAAGCCCACCAAGGCUACGACGGAUAGCUGGUCUGAGAGGACGAUCAGCCACACUGGGACUGAGACACGGCCCAGACUCCUACGGGAGGCUGCAGCAGGGAAUAUUGUGCAAUGAGCGAAAGCUUGACACAGCGACACCGCGUGUGGGAUGACGGUUCUAGGAUUGUAAACCACUUUCAGGAGGGAAGAAAAUGACGGUACCUCCACAAGAAGCCCCGGCCAACUACGUGCCAGCCGCCGCGGUAAUAC
rnacentral:rRNA from 1 species